AUAUCUCUCUGUACGGGAAGGAUGAGAAGCUUCGACCAAGGUUCGAUUCGAGCGCAGCGAGAAAGCGUUGCCGCAGGCAACGACCCGAAGGGCGAAGCGCGCA
rnacentral:sRNA from 3 species